ACAGAGCCUGCCUGUUGGUCUCUACCCACAGGGGAUCCCCUGCUGCUCCACCAUCAGAUUUGGGACACCACCCCCCCCCCGGCCCCACCAGAGGGCAUCAGCUAUGCCUAGCAAUUACGCCCCCGUGGCUAAAUUAAACUCCCAUUGGCUAAAUUAGGCUCGAAGAGAGGGGCACCUGCUGCUAAGCUGUGUAUGUUGUCCCCUAGGACUCCCACCGUUUGCUGAGCUCCACAUGACAACAGCAGACGACAGGCCGCACUGAUCCCACCUGGCUUACAGGUGCUGUCACACAGGUACGCCUUCUUGUGAAUCAUCAGUCACCAUUUGCCCCUCGCAGCAACCCUGUCUUGGAGGAAGGUCCUUGCCGACACCCGCCUCUCCCCACCCUUAGGCUCCCUUGCUCCUUCAUUCAACCAUUGUUUACAUGUCGUUCAGGACUGCUGACUAAACACUUUCAAGCACAGUGGACCCUUGAACAACGCAGGUUCAAACUGUGCAGGUCCACCCACAGGGAUGUUUUUCAAUCAGAGUUAUACCAAGUGUCCCUGCCUCUCCUGCCUCCCUUCCCACUUCCUCCAUG
rnacentral:lncRNA from 1 species